GUUUGGCUGUAAUAAAUGUUUUAUUAUAAACUGCGUGUUGAUAAUAGAGAAAAGAAAGAAAUUGUGCAGUUAUUUUAACAUACACUUUUGAUCUGUAUUUGAAUGUUGUGGUUAACAACAAUUAGUUACAGUGUGUUUCUCUCACAAAGCCCGUGAAGUUGGAGCUGGAACUGAACUUGGAAAGGGGAGAACACGAGAUUGUACGUAUUGUAUUUUGAUUAAUUUUUCAUCUCACCGGGGAUCACGUGCCAUUAAUUUUUGCGUCGUGUAUUCGUUUGAAGACCACUAGGCAUCCGUUUCUGCUUUUGAAUCUUACUGUAUGACUUUCCUUCAGUGAAAACUUCAUUCAGCUUUUUUGUUAUGUUAUUCUCUCGUAUCUCCUAGUGUCAAUUUGUAUCAAAGAGAGUUGGUAGGUGGCAACUGUGUACUGAUGAAUGUCGUAGUCCCUUCUGUAUAAGUACUGGACCUUAUAGUUACAGAAAUUGAGGCCACAAUGACAGUAGAAUUGAAUCAGCUGGGAGAUGCUCUGCCUGCAUUGCAGUUUUCUUCAGUUGCAAGGCAAUUGGGGCAGCAGUGUAGCAGUGUAGCAGUAGCUUAAUAACCAGGUUAUGUGAUGGCACACAGACAUUUUUUGUCAUCGAUUACUACAUUCCCGCAUUUGUGAUAAGUUUUGAUACAUCAAGAGCUGGUAUUUCACGAUUUGCCUGAGGUGAAACAUCAGUUUUGAAGAUGAAAUUUGUGGUAUCGUAAUGGAGCAAGCAAUGGGGAACAUAGCAGCACACUGAACAAAAGCGUAUGCAGAUGAUGAUUGACGACAUCCUGUGUUUUACAAAUUGCAGUCUCAAUACAUCACAUAUGAAUAACACAGUUGUUUUGUGUAAGCGCUACUCAAAGAUGAAGAGGAAGUUGUGGUGGGAUGCAUCAAACCAGUCAGAACAACGCUUAUGAAAUUUUCAUUACUUCCUCUUACAAGCGUUGUAUGCCCCUUUUUGUGCUACAGACAACCCUAAAGUGGUGUACUGAAUGUCAUUUUUCUUUCUGGCAUCGUAAUUAUGUACCUCAUUGUUCAUUUUGAGCUGUGGUGUAUUAUGAACAACAAACGUCAUGAGGGAAUAAAUAUACUGUGAAGCAGUAAUCCGACUGCUCAACUCUUUUAACAGAUGUCUACAAGAUGAUCAUGGUGACAGCAGUGUUCGUCGAGUCUUCUGGUACAGUGAGAGUUUCUUCUGGAUGUGGAACAGGCGUAGCUUGCACUCACCUGAAGGUGCAACCCUCGACAUUACCAGAAGGCUUGGAUGUGGUGCCAGGGCUGUGGAAAGCUCUACACUGCACAGCUCUUUGCUAAGUCAUUAGUCAAAAAUUCACACACUGUGGCUAGUCUCUCAUUGACUACUAUUCUUGUUGUGA